CAGUCGCCGCGGUAAUACAGAGGGUGCAAGCGUUAAUCGGAAUUACUGGGCGUAAAGCGCGCGUAGGUGGUUCGCCAAGUUGGAUGUGAAAUCCCCGGGCUCAACCUGGGAACUGCAUCCAAAACUGGCGAGCUAGAGUAUGGUAGAGGGUGGUGGAAUUUCCUGUGUAGCGGUGAAAUGCGUAGAUAUAGGAAGGAACAUCAGUGGCGAAGGCGACCACCUGGACUGAUACUGACACUGAGGUGCGAAAGCGUGGGGAGCAAACAGGAUUAGAUACCCCCGUAGUCCCUGUCUCUUAUAA
rnacentral:rRNA from 1 species